CAGUCGCCGCGGUAAUACGUAGGGUGCGAGCGUUAAUCGGAAUUACUGGGCGUAAAGCGUGCGCAGGCGGUUUUGUAAGACAGGCGUGAAAUCCCCGGGCUCAACCUGGGAAUGGCGCUUGUGACUGCAAAGCUAGAGUGCGGCAGAGGGGGAUGGAAUUCCGCGUGUAGCAGUGAAAUGCGUAGAUAUGCGGAGGAACACCGAUAGCGAAGGUAAUCCCCUGGGCCUGCACUGACGCUCAUGCACGAAAGCGUGGGGAGCAAACAGGAUUAGAUACCCCGGUAGUCCCUGUCUCUUAUAC
rnacentral:rRNA from 1 species